CACUGGCAUAAUAGACUGCAACGCCACCAACCAACGUUGAAUGAACACAGAUAUGUAUAUUAUACGUGAGACUGUACACAUGAACCCCCCCUGUGCACCCUUGUAGCUGUCUUCACUCGCAAUGUGAUUCGCAGCCGAGAGUCCACAUCAGGCGGCUAAACUGAUAAUUGUCCAAGUUACUAGAUCUAUACUGUUAUCCUUUUUUCCUUCCUUUUAUAUAUUUAACUGAAACGUUACGAAAUUUUACCUGUAAAGAGUAACAACUAAGCAGGUGACACAUACGGCUACUAGCUAGCCAUUACCAGACGAACUAGUAUAGCUUCACCCAAGACAGUACUUAACAGGUACCUAAUUGGAAGCACCCACGAUACCCCACAAGGCUUAUCUACUAAGCUAUUAAACUACCCGUCGGCAGAUCUCUGCGCUAGGCCACCCGGCUAACGGGUUUGUAUAU